rnacentral:rRNA from 1 species
AUGCCAUGUCCGUCUUUAAAAUUCCUAAAAAAAAUUGCAAAGGAAUUAUUGACGCGAUGUCGCAGUUUUGGUGGGGUGACGAGGACAAUCAGAAGAGGAUGCAUUGGAUGGCAUGGUGGAAAAUGUGUGUUCCAAAAGAUCAAGGAGGGAUGGGCUUCCGAGAUAUACACUGUUUCAACCUGGCGCUAUUAG